rnacentral:rRNA from 1 species
ACAUGGGACUCAGUAUGGAACUUAGUCCGCCCAGCAAAGAUAAAAAUAUUUAUGUGGCGCGUGCUCCAGAGUGCUAUUCCAUGUCGAUCUAUCCUGGCUAAUAAGCACUUGAAAAUAAAUCCGAGUUGCCCAGCCUGUAACCAGGGGCCUGAUUACAUAAGACAUAUGUUGUUCGAAUGCAAAUUGGCAAUGGACGUGUGGAAGAUGCUCGGUCUUGAGCUUGUUAUCAAACAGGCACUAAAAGAUGACAAGGCGGGCAAGCUUGUGUUGGCACAUCUUUUGUGCCUUCCAGAACAACAAAUCCAAGUGUUGGGCUUGCCGAAGUUCAGAGAAAUGAUGGCAACAACGGCUUGGUAUUUGUGGUAUGAAAGGCGAAAAUUGACACAUGACGAAGAAACUCAAAGCGCAUGUCAAAUCAAUAUGUCAGUGAGAGGCUUAGUAGCAAAUUAUACCAUCUCUUAUAGCCCAAAGGCUCACGUCCGUUCAGAUGCUUGGUUGAAACCAAAGUAUGGUUACGUGAAAUUAAAUGUUGACGCGGGAUUUGAUAGUGACACACUCGCAGCAACAUUUGGAGCAGUUAUCCGGGACCAUAGGGGGAAAUUUAUAGCGGCUGCUAAUGAAAAGAUGGACCUUUGCUUCGACUAUUGGAAAUAUAACCUAGAGUCAAUAAUAAAAGGAUUAUUAUUAUAUUUCCUUGUUCAUGAUAAUUGUCUUUUAUUCAUGCUAUAA